rnacentral:tRNA from 4 species
GCCUGGAUUGGGUCGGUGGAAUAAUUGCGGCUUAAGGCUGCAAUCACCGUUUUGGCUUGGUUGGUCUCCAAGCUCAGGUU